UUGCUAACAACAAAUUUAUUCUCUGUUUUGCAAAUCCAUUUUUAAAAAGUUCUUGCUUCAAAAAAAAGAAGAUAAAUUUACUUUUUUUUUUUUUUUGAUAUACCCUAUUGGCUAAUCUGGUCAGCUUCGGUAGAAACGCACCGAAGUACUACAGAGUGGACUUCUCCCGAUUCGGGUAGAAUUGGACUACCACACUCUCUGGUCCGAGUUUGGAAUGCCUUCCGACUAAUGCCAAGGGAUAAUCAGACCGCCUGCCUUUCUGACUACCAGGUAAACCAAGUACGUCAAUGCCCAACUGACAGACUUUUGAUUACAAACCUUGUUUGGCUUGAUCAAAUAUUUCAUCAUACUACACUAGUUGAGAAUUCUUUUGAGAAUUUGUUGUUCUCAGAGCGGGAGUAUACUUAGUUUGAGAAUUCUUUUUCCGAUAGCAACAAUUAGAAAACUUGUUCUGUUGUUUGUACCGAUUAAUAUUCAAAGAUUAUU
rnacentral:sRNA from 1 species